rnacentral:lncRNA from 1 species
CUCAAGUGCAAACAGACUCCCCUUGAGGUGAAAUAACCAACAUGGAGUUUUCCUUCACGAAUGCUCACUGUUGUGUUCCCUCAUGUGUAAGUUAAUAGUAUGGGUGCCUGUUACCAUGUUGUGGCCAUUUCUCAGUGAGAUGACCGCUUUUGUGUGAGAGAUAACCCCACAUCUCUUAUGCACUUCAUUUCUUAUUGCCAGAUAACUAGGUGUUUGUCAUUGUGUCAUCGCUUAUGCAUUCACCUGUGAAAGUCCAUGACUGUGACCCACCUGCUCUUCCUCCCAGCAACCCUCCAUCCAUCCAUCUGCCCACCAUCAGAGAAAGGAAUAACAACAGGAGAGAGAAAGAGCCUGGCCCCCGGGAGCCUGCACCCCACUAAGCGGCUUCCUGGUUAGUAUUUUAACCAUCAGCCUGUACAGUUAGUAGCCAGAGAUGGUGGAGGAUGAGGCAGGAGUAUUGCAAGAGAGAGGCCAGUCUGGAUUGAAUUACUUGGCAAGACUUUCAAAGAAAAACAGGCAACCUUGUAGAAGAGUGAUGUGAGCUAGCACUGUUAUCUGCCCUUUUAGGACACUGACUCUGUUCUUUCUCCAGCCACCAGGGGGAGACAAGCCAGUGCUAAGAGAGAGGCAGUGCCAGCCACAGGAGCUGGAGAACCUGAAGCUCAUCCCGGAUCCCAGGCCUUUGCUCUGCCCUAGAAAUAGUUGCUAGCAUCAAGCAGCAAGGAUGCUGUGUCCCUGGGAAUGAGGGGCCCGACACCAGAACAGAAGCUCUUAGAGGGCGCAUUGUGGGUCACUUGGGAGUGUGCGCUCAGUCACACCAUUCAGACGGAAAGGCCAGCUUGGGCCUUUCCUGAGCUCAGGCAUGUUGGGCACUAGGAGGGACCCUGCAUGAGACUCGUCCCUGUCCUCAGUCCUCACCACAGGUGGUGGGAGAGGCAGGCGGGCCCUCUUCCACAGACCCGUCUCUUUCUUCUGCUCUCCUCUCGCCCCACUCUUUGUUACAUCCCACAUCUGCCAUGGCCUUUCCUCUUGCCCUGGGCUCAGCUGACUUGAAAUAAGUAGGAUCCAUUUGGGGCACACUGGGACGUCUUGGGCCUGUGUGGGGCAGAAUCCCUACAGUUUCUGCUUGGACUCCAAAUUUCUGAAUAGUAUUUUAAAAUUACAAGUAUGAAAACUCAUGUUGCAUAGAGAGAAGCCUUUCUCGUGCUGUUGCCCCUGCCUGGUCCACAGGACUGGAUGGAGCUGAUGGAGCUGGGCUCAUGUUGCUCGACUCCUGUCAUCCCUCUGAACUCUGGUAUUCUUAUUUUGAGCUGCAGCCACCUGUGCUACCUGGAACUCAAAGGAUGACUUUUAAAUACCUAUCCCAUAACGGUUGCCAGAUAACAUGUCUCUUGCCUAAGAAGACAAGCUCUUGGCUUCCUGUCUAAACCCUUGUAGUCCUCUGGGUUUUUCCUUUCUCCAUAGUGGCCUCACUUUGCAUGGCUGUGCUCUGCGCAGCUGCUCUGAGCUUUAAAAUGUUGUUCUUAGUGAACUCAGAUGUGUAUAAAAGGAUAAAGAGGUCUGGCAUACGGCUGUAUUAGCAUACGGCUGCGUGGCUUGAAUUAGCUUCUGAGGUGAUUGAGCUCCACCUCAUGGUUCUCAUGGGCCUCAGUUCUGCUUGAGGCUCCCUCACGCCUAGCACAUCUGAUUAUCCAGCUGCUCCUGGAACAGAAAGUGGGAGUCAUGAGGAUGAGAGGUGUGUGUGGUGCUGUCAGCCUGAGUGCGGGGCCCAGGCUGCGCCUCGUUCAACCACAUGGGCAGGAGAGCAGUUACAGCAGGGGGCUUUAGUGUUCCCAUUUGGGUCCCUCAGGUCACUUGCUGAUUCUCAGAUCUUGAGACGCUGUUCCUGACAUCUUACUUAUAUCUAGGGUGGCUGCGUAGCAUCUUAUUUAUUUAUUUAUUUAUGUAAGAGUAAUAAAAUGAAGAGGUGAAGCCUCAGGGUCCCAGAAUGUGUCUGGUUUCUUUAGUCUCUCAGCAGAGCAUUAGGAAACAACAGAGCAUAGCUCAGAACGAAAAGUAUUCUGAACCCUGGCUUCGUGAUCCGGUACAGACCUCUGCAUUCAUUGAAAUUCUUAGUGCAGCUGUGUGCUUUGUCCUUCGACAUUUUGAAAACUGCUUGCACAUUUAAGAUCUUAGGACGUCAGCAGGAGUCUCAACUCAGUCAUUUCAGAGGCUGAAACGUUUUUAUAAAGAACCUUGCCCCCCCCC